CACACACCGUUUGUCACCAUUGACGAAAGUAAGCUGACUGUCCGAAGAGGGAAGGAAAGCAACCUAAUGGGAUCCCCCACCCCCCUCUACUUUCUUUCCAGGUAUAACUUUACACACAGCAAGUUUCUCCUUUCAGCUCGGAAUUCUAUGACUUCUGACAAAUACAGAUCAGAAUGUAGGACUUGAACUUACUUCUCCAGCCAGCACCGCGCCCGCCUGUGUGUCACGUGCUCCCUCUGAAGAGACCUAUGAGCUCGGAAAGUCCUUGUUUGGUCCAAAGAGGACUGGAUUCUGGAAAAACGUCAUUGAGAUGAUCUUCGAAAGUGGAAACGAGUUAAAUGUGACUUAGAUGAAUUAAAAAAGAGUUAUCGUGGUUCCUUAAUGUCUUAGAGGGGCAGACUGAGCUUUCAGUGUACCCCAGUCUUCAGACUUGGCGGCUGAUAUACAUUGUCUUCAAUCUUUAAAGCAACGAAACAAAUCAAAUAUAUGCUUCGCAAGUCAAAAUUGAAUCAAAACUGACGGAUCAAGUCAUCAUCUUCCUUAAAUCUUUUGCUUUUCACUCUUCCUGACGCUGCAACCCUUUGAUACGGU
rnacentral:sRNA from 1 species